rnacentral:lncRNA from 1 species
UGCAGAGGCGGCUAGACUUCGAGGAGUUUUGGAGGAUGGAUUUGGCUUUUUGAGGAGAGAGAUCAGAGGCUCCAGUGAGACUGUCUCUACUCAGAUUGGUGUUUUGAUGCAGUCUGUGUUGAGAGCUUUGGAACAAUUGGAUACCAUCAGACUUUCUCUCCUAGCACAGUCCAUAGCUUCCCAGGCUCCAGGAUCCUUUCAC